CUUGUCUUCAGGCUGACUGGGGCAGAAUGACUUGAGGAAAAUCAUCUCAGCAGCUCAACAGUAGUUCCCUUACUCCUCUCAAGGAUUAAUUCACUUGUUAUCAAUACCCUAAUUAUCUCCUCCUCUGGUGUCCCCUGGAAAACUGCUCCCUAGUUUAAACAAGUCUGCACUCUCCUCGUGUAUAAAAACGGAAACCAGUAACUGUGAAAAAGUUUGGCAAUUUCUUUUUCCCCAGGUCAUUGAUAAAAAUAUUACAUAGUGUACAUCUGCUGCUCAGUGAUGAUUCCAGCUGAUAGCUGUCUCCAGCAGGUCUAUGCUAAGUGGGAGGAUCCUAGACAUGACCUAAUUUGGCAGUCACUGGAACCAGGAGAAUGACCAGGCUGGAUGAGGGAGAGCCACCAGUGGAAUGAAAUUCAAAGCCAAGAGAUGGAGUUAUGAAGAAAGGGAAUCAUAAACUGGAACUAUUAGAACCACUGAAGAAGUGACUAGAGAACCCACAAGAGCUGUGUGAGCAAUCUACAAUCUCUUUGAAUAAGUGUAAUCCUGCAAGACUGUCUGUUAAAAGGCAGCAGCAGCCUUGAGUGCAGCCAGCAGAGUCCCAGGCAAUGGAAACCAGGUGAGGGGAGUGUAGACAUGGUUAAGACCAAGCAGUAGGUACAGGUGAGAUGGUGUUUGUUAAAAAGACAGUUGUCUAAAAGACUGCUACAUCCUUAGGGAGGCAGGGCUUUCAAUCCUAAAACUGGGAAACAUUUCUCUUCACAGUGGAAGAGGAAAAGGAAAUCAAUAGCUUGAAGGGAAGUAUAUAGGAAGCUAGAAAGCUAGGCUGAAUGAGCCUGUGGGGUGCCAAAUGAAAGAAUAAUCAAAGUGAGGCACUCCUAGGUUCUUGACUACUACCCUUAUUGGCAACACCAUAUGAGCAGGGCCACUGAUUGAUCUUAAUGGAAGAGAAAACAUAAUGAAAGGACUACAGUAAGGCCACCAGACAAUGACUGGGAUAUUGGAGACAGAUUAACAACAGAAAAGCACCAAAGAUUAAAAAAAAUCAUAAAAACCAUACACAUGAACAACAAACAAAGCAUUUUAAACACUCAUAAUUCUCAAGCCAGCUCAAUACUUUUCACACAGUGGAAGCUAAGGUUUGUAAAUAUUGAUUGUUCAACACUAACCAUUGUAUGGGAAUAAUCAGCUGGAGAAGAGAGAGUGAAACAGGAUAUGGAGAGGAGAAGGCUGGCUGGUGACAGGAGUCUUUAAAUGCAAUUGGCUGUCACCUGCCUGGUUUUGUCAGUGGGGAGGGUAUGAUUUGACUAUUUGUCUUUUUAGGAGGAAAUCUAGCAUACUAUAUGCAAAGUGCUCCAUUUUUUCAAUCCAAUGGUUUCACUUGUGUGGCCUUUAGGGAAUCAUAAUAUUUCAAUUAGGCAUCUUGCUUUUUAGUAUCACUUUAAAAGCAUAUUAGCCAGUUGAUUAAUUAUGAAUACAUGUGGUCUCUCUCUCUCUCUCCCUCAUUCACUUUACCUUGUAUGAUUAUUUUUGUGUGCUCUGACACCAUGAGUUACAUGUAUCAUUAACUAGACUUUGAAUGUCAUUUGCACUGUCUGUAAUAAGUGUGUGAGUUUGGUUUUGGUGUGCAAUAAGUCAGUGACUUUACAGAGAUUUCCCUUGCUCUGUAUAUCUUAUUGCAGCCCACCAUAAAUAUUUAAACAGGGAAUCCUUCUUUUAGAUGGAGAGGUAGAAAAUUGGUGCAAAGAUGUUGCCCUCUCAAUGUUUAUGAGUCUUUUCCAAUAGUUUCUGGAAAAUAGGGGAAAGUAAUCCAUUUACUCAACACUUCUUAAUAAUGUGGUUCAUGUGGGGCUGCUUUUGGUUUGUUCUUAUACAUAUCAAAUACUUCUUGGUAUUCUGUACGAUGGAUUUAAAUGUUCCAAACUGUUUUCAGCUGCGACUGGGCCCUACUACUAAACUGUUUUUCAUGGAUUCCAAAUGGAAUGAAUCAUACAACACAUUAAAUGUAAUGAGGCAAGAUAAAGGAGAGGAGAUUUCUCACUCCAUUCAA